rnacentral:rRNA from 2 species
GAUGAUGCAUAGCCGAGUUGAGAGACUGAUCGGCCACAAUGGGACUGAGACACGGCCCAUACUCCUACGGGAGGCAGCAGUAGGGAAUCUUCCACAAUGGGCGCAAGCCUGAUGGAGCAACACCGCGUGAGUGAAGAAGGGUUUCGGCUCGUAAAGCUCUGUUGUUAAAGAAGAACACGUAUGAGAGUAACUGUUCAUACGUUGACGGUAUUUAACCAGAAAGUCACGGCUAACUACGUGCCAGCAGCCGCGGUAAUACGUAGGUGGCAAGCGUUAUCCGGAUUUAUUGGGCGUAAAGAGAGUGCAGGCGGUUUUCUAAGUCUGAUGUGAAAGCCUUCGGCUUAACCGGAGAAGUGCAUCGGAAACUGGAUAACUUGAGUGCAGAAGAGGGUAGUGGAACUCCAUGUGUAGCGGUGGAAUGCGUAGAUAUAUGGAAGAACACCAGUGGCGAAGGCGGCUACCUGGUCUGCAACUGACGCUGAGACUCGAAAGCAUGGGUAGCGAACAGGAUUAGAUACCCUGGUAGUCCAUGCCGUAAACGAUGAGUGCUAGGUGUUGGAGGGUUUCCGCCCUUCAGUGCCGGAGCUAACGCAUAAGCACUCCGCCUGGGGAGUACGACCGCAAGGUUGAAACUCAAAGGAAUUGACGGGGGCCCGCACAAGCGGUGGAGCAUGUGGUUUAAUUCGAAGCUACGCGAAGAACCUUACCAGGUCUUGACAUCUUGCGCCAACCCUAGAGAUAGGGCGUUUCCUUCGGGAACGCAAUGACAGGUGGUGCAUGGUCGUCGUCAGCUCGUGUCGUGAGAUGUUGGGUUAAGUCCCGCAACGAGCGCAACCCUUGUUACUAGUUGCCAGCAUUAAGUUGGGCACUCUAGUGAGACUGCCGGUGACAAACCGGAGGAAGGUGGGGACGACGUCAGAUCAUCAUGCCCCUUAUGACCUGGGCUACACACGUGCUACAAUGGACGGUACAACGAGUCGCGAACUCGCGAGGGCAAGCAAAUCUCUUAAAACCGUUCUCAGUUCGGACUGCAGGCUGCAACUCGCCUGCACGAAGUCGGAAUCGCUAGUAAUCGCGGAUCAGCAUGCCGCGGUGAAUACGUUCCCGGGCCUU